UUUUAUUUGAGAGUUUGAUCCUGGCUCAGGAUGAACGCUGGCGGCGUGCCUAACACAUGCAAGUUGAGCGAUUUACUUCGGUAAAGAGCGGCGGACGGGUGAGUAACGCGUGGGUAACCUACCCUGUACACACGGAUAACAUACCGAAAGGUAUGCUAAUACGGGAUAAUAUAUUUGAGAGGCAUCUCUUGAAUAUCAAAGGUGAGCCAGUACAGGAUGGACCCGCGUCUGAUUAGCUAGUUGGUAAGGUAACGGCUUACCAAGGCGACGAUCAGUAGCCGACCUGAGAGGGUGAUCGGCCACAUUGGAACUGAGACACGGUCCAAACUCCUACGGGAGGCAGCAGUGGGGAAUAUUGCACAAUGGGCGAAAGCCUGAUGCAGCAACGCCGCGUGAGUGAUGAAGGCCUUCGGGUCGUAAAACUCUGUCCUCAAGGAAGAUAAUGACGGUACUUGAGGAGGAAG
rnacentral:rRNA from 1 species